rnacentral:rRNA from 1 species
GUGAGGAAUAUUGCGCAAUGGAGGCAACUCUGACGCAGCCAUGCCGCGUGCAGGAAGAAGGCGCUACGCGUUGUAAACUGCUUUUAACCGGGAAGAAACCCCAGGACGUGUCCUGGGUUGACGGUACCGGAGGAAUAAGCACCGGCUAACUUCGUGCCAGCAGCCGCGGUAAUACGAAGGGUGCAAGCGUUAUCCGGAUUCAUUGGGCUUAAAGGGUGCGUAGGCGGAGCGUUAAGUCAGUGGUGAAAUCCUGCAGCUUAACUGUAGACUUGCCAUUGAGACUGGCGCUCUUGAGUGCGCUUGAAGUGGUCGGAAUGUGCCGUGUAGCGGUGAAAUGCUUAGAUAUGGCACAGAACACCAAUUGCGAAGGCAGCUCACUAAGGCGAUACUGACGCUGAGGCACGAAAGCGUGGGGAUCGAACAGGAUUAGAUACCCGUGUAGUCC